GACGAACGCUGGCGGCGUGCUUAACACAUGCAAGUCGAACGGAAAGGCCCUGCUUUUGUGGGGUGCUCGUGUGGCGAACGGGUGAGUAACACGUGAGUAACCUCCCCUUGACUUUGGGAUAACUUCAGGAAACUGGGGCUAAUACCGGAUAGGAGCUCCUGCUGCAUGGUGGGGGUUGGAAAGGUUCGGCGGUUGGGGAUGGACUCGCGGCUUAUCAGCUUGUUGGUGGGGUAGUGGCUUACCAAGGCCGUGACGGGUCGCCGGCCUGAGAGGGUGACCGGCCACAGUGGGACUGAGAGACGGCGCAGACUCCUGCGGGAGGCAGCAGUGGGGAAUGUUGCACAAUGGGCGGAAGCCUGAUGCAGCAACGCCGCGUGCGGGAUGACGGCCUUCGGGUUGAAAACCGCUUUCGCCUGUGACGAAGCGGGAGUGACGGUAAUGGGUAAAGAAGCACCGGCUAACUACGUG
rnacentral:rRNA from 1 species